rnacentral:lncRNA from 1 species
GAAACGAUGAACUUUCACAAUGGCGCACACCCAGGGAGAACACAAUUUUAUCUUGAAAUUUUAGUGAGGGAUCACCUUAUAAUGUUAGCAUCCUCCUAAGCAAAACAAGGUGCAUAAAAAUGAUGAAAGUCACAUGAAAUCAUAAGUGACAUGAUAUGGCCAUGAUCUUGUGCUUUUGAUCUCCAUCUCCAAAGCACCGACAUGAUCUCCAUCGUCACCAGCACAACACCAUGAUCUCCAUCAUCGUGUUUCCAUCAAGGUUGUCGCGCCAACCAUGCUUGUACUACUGUUGAUACAGUUUAGCGAUAAAGUAAAGCAUUACAUAGCUCUUAAUGAUUGACACACAAGUCAUACAAUAAUUAAAGACAACCCUAUGGCUCCUACCGGUUCCCGUAGCAUCGACAAGCAAGUCGACAUUAACUAUUGCAACAUGAUCAUCUCAUACAACAAAUACAUAUCAUCAUGUCUUUGGCCAUAUCAUAUCACAACAUACCGUGCAAAAACAAGUUGGACAUCCUCUAAUUUAUCGUUGCACGUUUUACGUGGCUGCUAUGGGUAUUUACCAAGAAUUCUUCUUAUCUACGCAAAACCACAACGGUGAUAUACAAGUUGCUAUUUAACCUUUUAUAAGGACCGCCUUUGUCGAAUCAUAUUUAACUAAAGUGGGAGAGACAGACACCCGCUAGCCAUCUUUAUGCAACAAGUUGCAUGUCAGUCGAUGGAACCGGUCUCUCGUACAUGUACGAGUAAGGUUGGUUCACGCCGCUUUAUCCCACAAUACCGCUAAAUCAAGAAAAUACUAAGGAGGGAAGGAAUCUGAAUAUCAGCGCCCACAAACUCCUUUGUGUUCUACUUGAGAUGUCAUCUACGCAUAGACCUAGUUCUGAUACCACAGUUGGGGAAUGUUGCAUGGGAAACAAAAACAUUCCUACGCCCACCAAGACCGUUCUAGGAGAUGCACAUCUACGAGAGUAAAGACUGAAUCUACAUACCCUUGUAGAUUGCUAAGCGAAAGCAUUCAAGAGCGCGGUUGAUGUAGUUGUACGUCUUCAUGAUCCGAUCACGAUCCGUCUCACGAACUCCUUGUCAAGCGCCGAAUGGACGGCACCUCCGCAUUCAACACACGUGCAGCUUGGUGACGCCUUCACCUCCUCGAUCCAGCGAGCGAUGGUGAAGUAGGAGCACGAGUCCUACGACAGCACGACGACGUGGUGAGAUGAUGGUGGUGAUAGCUCAGCAGGGUUUCCUCGCCUGAUGUUUAGAGGACAAGAACUACGAGGGAGAGGAGGAGCAGCGCCACGGCAAGAUGUCGUCUGGCUGCCCUCUCUCUACCUCUCUAUAUAUAGGGUUAAGGGUGGAGGGGAGGGCGCCAUAGGGUUUCCCCUAUGGGCCGGCGGCCAGGAUGGGCGACGGCUAGGGUUGGGGUGCCCUCCCCCCACUUGGGUGCCUUGCCACCCAAGUUGGACAGGCUGAUGCCCUGGGGGGAGGCCCUCCUCCCUUCGGCCAAAGUGGGCUGGGGUGUGGGUGGUGCCCAGACCCUUGUGGGAUGGUGUGCCACCCCUCCUUGGCCCAUGAGGCCGCCAACACUUGUCGGGGCCUCCCGAAAAUCCUUUCGCUAUUCUGUCAUUCCCUUGUAUUCCCUGGAAUACUUCCGGACUCCGAUACUCUUCAUCCUAUAUAUCAAUAUUCACCUCCGGACCACUCGAGAGUUCCUCGUAAUGUCCGGUAUCUCAUCCAGUACUCGGAACAACCUAUGUCCCACCAACAAUAUGACUCAAUUAUGCUCAUAUCGUCACCGUACCUUAAGCGUGUAGACCCUGCGGGUUCGAAAACUAUGCAGACAUGACCGAGACACUCUCCGGUCAAUAACCAAUAGCGGGACCUGGAUGCCUAUAUUGGUUCCUACAUAUUCUGCGAAGAUCUAUAUCGGUCGAACCUCGAUGUCAAGGAUUCAAUCAAUCUCGUAUAAAAUGCUCUUUGUCCAUCGGUAUGUUACUUGCCCGAGGUUCUAUCGUAGGUAUCUCCAUACCUAGUUAAAUCUCCUUACCUGCAAGUCUAUUUACUCGUUCCGUAAUACGAGAUACCGUGGCUAACUCUUUAGUCACAUUGCUUGCAUGCUCAUGGUGAUGUUGACAUACCUCUCGAUCACACGGAGUGACAAAUCCCAGUCUUGAUCCAUGUCAACUCAACCCACACCCUCGGAGAUACUUGUAUAGCACAUUUAUAGUCACCCACUUACGCAACGGCGUUUGAUACACACAAGGUACUCCUCCGGUGUUAGUGAGUUGCAUGAUCUCAUGGUCAUAGGAAUAGAUACUUAACAUGCAGAAAAUAAUAGCAAUAAACUGACACGAUCAUAUGCUACCUUCAUAGUUUGGGUCUUGUCCAUCACAUCAUUUUCCUAAUGAUGUGAUCCCGUUAUCAAAUGACAACUCAUGUCUAUGGCGAGGAAACCUUGACCGUCUUUGAUCAACGAGCUAGUCCAUUAGAGGGUCACUAGGGAGAGUGUGUUGUCUAUGUAUCCACACAUGUAUUUGAGUUUCCAAUCAGUACAAUUCUAGCCUGGAUAAUAAACGAUUAUCACGAACAAGGAAACAUAAUAAUAACCACUUUAUUAUUACCUCUAGGGCAUAUUUCCAACAUCUAAUGGAGACUGCUUUCCACCCUUUUCAGCACCAUCUGAGGUGGUCGAUCUGUAAGAAAAUCAACAUCAGAACAUGAAAUGCUAUCAAUGGCAAGAUCAACAUAUGUCUUAAUUUGCUCACAAUCUAAUGAAAUAAGAAAAGAAAAUCUCAGGUAACCACGUGAUACACAAAGCAAAGGACAUUUAAAUCCUAAAACGUGAAGAUGUUUGAUAUACAUGGUGUUCUGCCAUGAUGACCAAGAAGAAAAGUAGUAUAGAAGUAGAAUUUAUAUAAACAAAUAAGAUGCACUAUAUUAGAAGAAAUGAUGAAAUCAAUUUCAGAACUUCCCUCUUCCCUACCCUACCCCUGAUAUACAUUCAAUUUUGUCGGACGCAAAAUUCCAAUAGAACAAUAGGACUGAUGGAAUCAAUUUCAGAACCACCAUAAAGAACUAAACUAACUUCCAAACAAACAUUUCAAGCUUGGAAGUGCCAAACAUGCACAUAUUCAUAUAGUGGGUAGGAAUGUAACAACAAUUGUCUGCUUGCAUAGGAAAUAAUGGUCAUAAUGGUGCCAAUUGAACAUAGAUGAGUAACGAAAUUAAAAACCAGAGAGUUGUGGAAGCAGUGACCUCAGGUGGUGUUUCCCUUGUGCUCCUGGCUCCGGCACCUAACGACCACGGGUCUAUAUUCCCUUCAAGUACAGGUAAAAUCAGAUCAAUCUCCAUCAGCAGACGAACCCAAGCCAACCAAGAACAUGCAUGGUGGUGGCGAUAAAUGUUCUUCACCAUAUUCGACGCUAGGAGUGCAGUGGAAUACUCACCAAGGAAAUCACUGCUGGAGAGGCCCUUGGCAUAGACCAGAUGCACCUCUAGAAGACCACACCCCAUUGUUUUCUUCUCCCCGUGCUGCUGCUCCUCUCUUCCUCCCCUGGUUCUAAGUCGAGGCCUUGCCCCUCUGCUCGAUCUGCUUCUGUCGAGGCCGGACCGAGGUCGCGCUAUGGUUGCUACUCCUCUCUUGCUGACUCCUAUUGAGUCCGGAUUGAGGCCGCGCUCCUCACUCUAGCUCCUCAUGCUGAGGCCGGACCAUGGCCGUGCUGCGGUUAUUACACCUCUCCUCCUCCUAAGCCCAGAUCGAGGUUGUGCUCCUUGGCUCGAGCCGCCGCCUCGCUCUCCUUCUCUGUCACACCCCACUUAUCCCCUUCACAUCCCUCCUCCUUCCUAAGCUCGAAAAGGAGAGAGGGAAGCGGCUUGGGGGGAGGGCAGCAGGCGUAGGACCCAAGGAGAAGUAGAAGAGGCAGGAUUGGGAGAUUGGGGGAGAGGAGGCAGUGGAUUGAGGAAAGAGUUGUUGCACGCUCGCUGCACUUGUGUUGAUACCCGCUU